GACGAACGCUGGCGGCGCGCUUAACACAUGCAAGUCGAGCGAGAACCAGGGCUUCGGCCCUGGGGACAGCGGCGAACGGGUGAGUAACACGUGGAUAACCUGCCCUCGGCACCGGGAUAGCCCGGGGAAACCCGGAUUAAUACCGGAUAGCCCAGCUGGCUCACGAGCCGGCUGGAAAAGGUAGCUUCGGCCUCUGGCCGAGGAUGGGUCCGCGGCGGAUUAGCUUGUUGGUGGGGUAAUGGCCCACCAAGGCUCCGAUCCGUAGCUGGUCUGAGAGGACGAUCAGCCACACUGGGACUGAGACACGGCCCAGACUCCUACGGGAGGCAGCAGUGGGGAAUCUUGCCCAAUGGGCGAAAGCCUGAGGCAGCGACGCCGCGUGAGGGAGGAAGGCCUUCGGGUUGUAAACCUCUUUCAGGAGGGACGAAGCUACUCGGGUGAAUAGCCCAGAGGGUGACGGUACCUCCAGAAGAAGCCCCGGCUAACUACGUGCCAGCAGCCGCGGUAAGAC
rnacentral:rRNA from 1 species